UCGAGCGGUAACAGGGGGUGUUUGCACCCUGCUGACGAGCGGCGGACGGGUGAGUAAUGCUCAGGAAUCUGCCCAGUAGUGGGGGACAACAGUCGGAAACGGCUGCUAAUACCGCAUACGCCCUACGGGGGAAAGCAGGGGAUCUUCGGACCUUGCGCUAUUGGAUGAGCCUAAGUCGGAUUAGCUAGUUGGUGGGGUAAAGGCCUACCAAGGCGACGAUCCGUAGCUGGUCUGAGAGGAUGAUCAGCCACAUCGGGACUGAGACACGGCCCGAACUCCUACGGGAGGCAGCAGUGGGGAAUAUUGGACAAUGGGGGCAACCCUGAUCCAGCCAUGCCGCGUGUGUGAAGAAGGCUUUCGGGUUGUAAAGCACUUUCAGCGAGGAGGAAGGCCUUAAAGUUAAUACCUUUAAGGAUUGACGUUACUCGCAGAAGAAGCACCGGCUAACUCCGUGCCAGCAGCCGCGGUAAUACGGAGGGUGCAAGCGUUAAUCGGAAUUACUGGGCGUAAAGCGCGCGUAGGUGGUUUGGUAAGCGAGAUGUGAAAGCCCCGGGCUUAACCUGGGAACGGCAUUUCGAACUGUCAGACUAGAGUGUGGUAGAGGGUAGUGGAAUUUCCUGUGUAGCGGUGAAAUGCGUAGAUAUAGGAAGGAACACCAGUGGCGAAGGCGGCUACCUGGACCAACACUGACACUGAGGUGCGAAAGCGUGGGGGAGCAAACAGGAUUAGAUACCCUGGUAGUCCACGCCGUAAACGAUGUCAACUAGCCGUUGGGACUCUUGAAGUCUUAGUGGCGCAGCUAACGCACUAAGUUGACCGCCUGGGGAGUACGGCCGCAAGGUUAAAACUCAAAUGAAUUGACGGGGGCCCGCACAAGCGGUGAGCAUGUGUUUAAUUCGACGCACGCGAAGAACCUUACCUGCCUGACAUCCAGAGAGCUUUCAGAGAUGACUGUGCCUUCGGACUCUGAGACAGUGCUGCAUGACGUCGUCAGCUCGUGUCGUGAGAUGUGGGUAGUCCCGUACGAGCGCACCCCUAUCUUGUGCUAGCAGUAUGCUGAAACUCCAGGAGACUGCUGUGACAACGAGAGUGGGGAUGACGUCAGUCAUCAUGGCCCUACGCCAGGGCUACCCACUGCGUCAUGCCGUACAAGCCCCACUUCGGGAGAGUGAGGGAUCCUUUAACCGCCUAUCCGAAUGGAGUGCACCUCACCCCUGGGAUCGAGCCCUGAAUAUUCGCACUCACAGUUUGCGUGUGAAC
rnacentral:rRNA from 1 species